rnacentral:rRNA from 1 species
UACGGGGGGAGCAAGCGUUGUUCGGAUUUACUGGGCGUAAAGGGCGCGUAGGCGGUCAGCACAAGUCAGUUGUGAAAUCUCCGGGCUUAACUCGGAAAGGUCAACUGAUACUGUGCGACUAGAGUGCAGAAGGGGCAACUGGAAUUCUCGGUGUAGCGGUGAAAUGCGUAGAUAUCGAGAGGAACACCUGCGGCGAAGGCGGGUUGCUGGGCUGACACUGACGCUGAUGCGCGAAAGCCAGGGGAGAGAACGGG